rnacentral:rRNA from 1 species
GGGGAAUAUUGCACAAUGGGCGAAAGCCUGAUGCAGCAACGCCGCGUGAGUGAUGAAGGUCUUCGGAUUGUAAAGCUCUGUCUUUUGGGACGAUAAUGACGGUACCAAAGGAGGAAGCCACGGCUAACUACGUGCCAGCAGCCGCGGUAAUACGUAGGUGGCGAGCGUUGUCCGGAUUUACUGGGCGUAAAGGGUGCGUAGGCGGAUGUUUAAGUGAGAUGUGAAAUACCCGGGCUUAACUUGGGUGCUGCAUUUCAAACUGGAUAUCUAGAGUGCAGGAGAGGAGAAUGGAAUCCCUAGUGUAGCGGUGAAAUGCGUAGAGAUUAGGAAGAACACCAGUGGCGAAGGCGAUUCUCUGGACUGUAACUGACGCUGAGGCACGAAAGCGUGGGUAGCAAACAGGAUUAGAUACCCUGGUAGUCCACGCCGUAAACGAUGAGUACUAGGUGUAGGAGGUAUCGACCCCUUCUGUGCCGCAGUAAACACAUUAAGUACUCCGCCUGGGAAGUACGAUCGCAAGAUUAAAACUCUAAAGUGAAUUGAC